GGCAGGGGGCGGGGCCUGGGCCAGAGAACGCCCGGAGCACCCGCGCGGGAGGCGGGGCCUGGAGCCGCGGACGCCUGGAGCGGCGGGACAGGGGGUCAGGGCUUGGGGCUCAGGACGCCUGGAGCAGCCCCACGGGAGGCGGGGCCUGUGGCGGCCGCUGCGGGGCGGAGUCUAACCCACAGGACGCCUGGAACAGCCGGCAAUGUUGUUUUAUUCGGAUCCAGAAUCUCCUGGACUAGAAUUUCAUCUUGGGAGAAGCACACAAGAACACGUUAGAGUCGGACCGCGGCGCUGGCCCUGGUGCUGCUGUCCCCAAGGCCAUCUGUGCACACAGUGACUGGGGAACAGGAACCCAGAGGACGUGGGACUUGACUUUCCAAAGAACCCUGUCUGGUGGGCAGGCCGCUGCCUCCCUCAAUAAUUUCAGAAAAACUGAGACCAUCUGGACGUCCUAGACACUGAACAUUGUCCCCCAAAUGUACAAGGCUUGA